rnacentral:rRNA from 1 species
AAUAGAUACCCUGGUAGUCCACGCCGUAAACGAUGAGUGCUAAGUGUUAGGGGGUUUCCGCCCCUUAGUGCUGCAGCUAACGCAUUAAGCACUCCGCCUGGGGAGUACGGUCGCAAGACUGAAACUCAAAGGAAUUGACGGGGGCCCGCACAAGCGGUGGAGCAUGUGGUUUAAUUCGAAGCAACGCGAAGAACCUUACCAGGUCUUGACAUCCCAUUGACCACUAUGGAGACAUAGUUUUCCCUUCGGGGACAACGGUGACAGGUGGUGCAUGGUUGUCGUCAGCUCGUGUCGUGAGAUGUUGGGUUAAGUCCCGCAACGAGCGCAACCCUUGUUCUUAGUUGCCAUCAUUUAGUUGGGCACUCUAAGGAGACUGCCGGUGACAAACCGGAGGAAGGUGGGGAUGACGUCAAAUCAUCAUGCCCCUUAUGACCUGGGCUACACACGUGCUACAAUGGACGGUACAAACGGUUGCCAACCCGCGAGGGGAGCUAAUCCGAUAAAACCGUUCUCAGUUCGGAUUGUAGGCUGCAACUCGCCUACA